UUACCGAUCACGAUGACAGGUGCCCGCGCCACGCCAGCGGCGCGGGUUAAACGGGAAACAGGUGCGCCAACGCCAAUGGCUUGAGUCUUGCAUGCGCGGACUCAGGACGCUGGCGGCAAUGCCUGUGCUGCCCCCGCAACGGUAAGCAGGUCAAGGGAUCGCCACGCCGGCCUGGUGCCGGCAGCCACUGCGCGCCAGCGCGGGAAGGCGGCCAUCCCCCACGCGCACGCGGCGCCCACCGCGCGCAUCGCCUGCCAGCCCGGAUACCGGCCUGACUUCGACCACCGAA
rnacentral:ncRNA from 2 species